UACGUAGGGACCAAGCGUUGUUCGGAUUUACUGGGCGUAAAGGGCGCGUAGGCGGCGCGGUAAGUCACUUGUGAAAUCUCUGAGCUUAACUCAGAACGGCCAAGUGAUACUGCAGUGCUAGAGUGUGGAAGGGGCAAUCGGAAUUCUUGGUGUAGCGGUGAAAUGCGUAGAUAUCAGGAGGAACACCAAUGGCGAAGGCAGCUCGCUGGAACGGUACUGACGCUGGAGGCGCGAAAGCGUGGGGAGCAAACAGG
rnacentral:rRNA from 1 species